CAAGGCAUGACAUAUACAGGAAUAUGGCAGAGAUGUCAUAGCCGCAAGGUCUGUAUACAGGUGGUGCAUGGUUGUCGUCAGCUCGUGUCGUGAGAUGUUGGGUUAAGUCCCGCAACGAGCGCAACCCUCGUUCUGUGUUGCCAGCAUUUAGUUGGGGACUCACAGGAGACUGCCGGGGUUAACUCGGAGGAAGGUGGGGAUGACGUCAAAUCAUCAUGCCCCUUAUGUCUUGGGCUGCACGCAUGCUACAAUGGCUGGUACAAACGGCUGCAAUACCGCAAGGUGGAGCGAAUCCGAGAAAGCCAGUCUCAGUUCGGAUUGGGGUCUGCAACUCGACCCCAUGAAGUCGGAGUUGCUAGUAAUCGUAGAUCAGCAACGCUACGGUGAAUACGUUCCCGGGGCUUGUACACACCGCCCGUCACGUCACGA
rnacentral:rRNA from 1 species